rnacentral:lncRNA from 1 species
CCUUGGGCUGUGUCUCUAGGCUGAUGCCUAUAUACUACUGUUUGCUCCGUUUGAAGGGCUAAGAAAAAUAAGGCUGGACGUGGCCUCCGAGAUGUAGAAUGUGUUAUAGAAGACAAACGCAAAUCAGCAUGUUAAGGCAUGUAUAGAUUUCUAGCUUCAUUUUAUGUUCAACCACAGUCUUCAAUAAAGUGAAAUCUAGAAUAUUUCACUAUUGUUACGUUUAACACAGAACAUAUCUACAGAAAAAUGAAGAUUCUCCAUGUAUAGCGAUCAGUGGUAGCUAUAUCCAACAGCAGAAUACGACUGUUAAUGUUCAAUAUGUUCAGGUUUGGAAACCCACGGAAGUGGGAAGGACAACACAUCUGGCAGGGGCGAUGAAGAACAAUGCAACAUCCAGUCUUCACCCCAGUCAGGUGACCAGGAGAUUGACCAGACCAGAGAAGAAGGUUUGGAAACCCACGGAAGUGGGAAGGACAACACAUCUGGCAGGGACGAUGAAGAACAAUGCAACAUCCAGUCUUCACCCCAGUCAGGUGACCAGGAGAUUGACCAGACCAGAGAAGAAGGUUUGGAAACCCACGGAAGUGGGAAGGACAACACAUCUGGCAGGGACGAUGAAGAACAAUGCAACAUCCAGUCUUCACCCCACUCAGGUGACCAGGAGAUUGACCAGACCAGAGAAGAAGGUUUGGAAACCCACGGAAGUGGGAAGGACAACACAUCUGGCAGGGACGAUGAAGAACAAUGCAACAUCCAGUCUUCACCCCAGUCAGGUGACCAGGAGAUCGACCAGACUAGAGCGGAAGGUGAAGAGAUGUCCUCCAGUAACUCAAGUGUGUCAUCACAAGGCUCAGCAGAACCACAACAAUUCUUCACACACAAGUUGCCCAAUAAGCCUUGUUUCUUCUAUAUUAAACACAAUGAUUGGGUGAAACUUAAAAGAAAACAAAAAAACAAACAAUUCAAAUCAAUAAACUGGACUAAUGUCAUAUCAAAAGGAAUACGAACUGUGCAUCCUUACUGCAGUUUUGGAUUUAAAAGGCACACAGUAAAAUGUUUAGGAUCCAGGAAGAAGUGUCCAGCCUUCACCUGUUCCGGAUACUGCCUUUUCGAAGACUGUAGUGUCUGGGUUGAUGUGAAAGUGGAGAGCGAAUACUCUCUAAAGGCAGAUGUCAUUUUUCAUGGGGACAUGGUCAAACACAGGUGGGAUCAGCUCAAGAGAAGACCUAUAAGAUCACACGACAGAACAAAAAUUUCCAAGAAACUCAGUUCAAAACUUC